rnacentral:rRNA from 1 species
GCAGCUUGCUGCUUCGCUGACGAGUGGCGGACGGGUGAGUAAUGUCUGGGAAGCUGCCUGAUGGAGGGGGAUAACUACUGGAAACGGUAGCUAAUACCGCAUAAUGUCGCAAGACCAAAGAGGGGGACCUUCGGGCCUCUUGCCAUCGGAUGUGCCCAGAUGGGAUUAGCUUGUUGGUGGGGUAACGGCUCACCAAGGCGACGAUCCCUAGCUGGUCUGAGAGGAUGACCAGCCACACUGGAACUGAGACACGGUCCAGACUCCUACGGGAGGCAGCAGUGGGGAAUAUUGCACAAUGGGCGCAAGCCUGAUGCAGCCAUGCCGCGUGUAUGAAGAAGGCCUUCGGGUUGUAAAGUACUUUCAGCGGGGAGGAAGGGAGUAAAGUUAAUACCUUUGCUCAUUGACGUUACCCGCAGAAGAAGCACCGGCUAACUCCGUGCCAGCAGCCGCGGUAAUACGGAGGGUGCAAGCGUUAAUCGGAAUUACUGGGCGUAAAGCGCACGCAGGCGGUUUGUUAAGUCAGAUGUGAAAUCCCCGGGCUCAACCUGGGAACUGCAUCUGAUACUGGCAAGCUUGAGUCUCGUAGAGGGGGGUAGAAUUCCAGGUGUAGCGGUGAAAUGCGUAGAGAUCUGGAGGAAUACCGGUGGCGAAGGCGGCCCCCUGGACGAAGACUGACGCUCAGGUGCGAAAGCGUGGGGAGCAAACAGGAUUAGAUACCCUGGUAGUCCACGCCGUAAACGAUGUCGACUUGGAGGUUGUGCCCUUGAGGCGUGGCUUCCGGAGCUAACGCGUUAAGUCGACCGCCUGGGGAGUACGGCCGCAAGGUUAAAACUCAAAUGAAUUGACGGGGGCCCGCACAAGCGGUGGAGCAUGUGGUUUAAUUCGAUGCAACGCGAAGAACCUUACCUGGUCUUGACAUCCACGGAAGUUUUCAGAGAUGAGAAUGUGCCUUCGGGAACCGUGAGACAGGUGCUGCAUGGCUGUCGUCAGCUCGUGUUGUGAAAUGUUGGGUUAAGUCCCGCAACGAGCGCAACCCUUAUCCUUUGUUGCCAGCGGUCCGGCCGGGAACUCAAAGGAGACUGCCAGUGAUAAACUGGAGGAAGGUGGGGAUGACGUCAAGUCAUCAUGGCCCUUACGACCAGGGCUACACACGUGCUACAAUGGCGCAUACAAAGAGAAGCGACCUCGCGAGAGCAAGCGGACCUCAUAAAGUGCGUCGUAGUCCGGAUUGGAGUCUGCAACUCGACUCCAUGAAGUCGGAAUCGCUAGUAAUCGUGGAUCAGAAUGCCACGGUGAAUACGUUCCCGGGCCUUGUACACACCGCCCGUCACACCAUGGGAGUGGGUUGCAAAAGAAGUAGGUAGCUUAACCUUCGGGAGGGCGCUUACCACUUUGUGAUUCAUGACUGGGGUGAAGUCGUAACAAGGUA